rnacentral:rRNA from 1 species
GGUAUUUUGACUAUACGAAGGUAUUGAAAUAAGAUUUUAAAUGAGUGCUAAGAGAAUGAUUGAACAAUUAUAGGCUUUCUUUAGUUAAAUAAUUAAAUUUAAUUUUUUUAGUGCAAAAGCAAAAAUUAAAUUUAGGGACAAGAAGACCCUAUGAAUUUUAAUUUAAUUUAUAAUUUGAAAUUUUAAAUUAAAUUUGAUUGGGGCGAUGGAAAAAGAAUGAGUAUCUUUUUUAGUUUUAAAAAUUGGUUCCGUUUUUAACGAUUAAAUGAGAAAAAUACUCUAGGGAUAACAGCGUAAUAA